UAUAGUUUCAUUAUUAUUUGUAUGAUUAAAUCAGUAUCGUAUUGAAUCAUUAAACGAGUUUAUCUUAAAUUACAGUGAAAGAAUAAUGAAAUACCAUGUCAAAUUUUUCCAAAAAGUACACGUCAAUGACAAAAUAUCUUCGUUAUUUGCAUCGCCAGAGAUCAAACAGUUUUCUUGAGUUUCAACUGCGAAAAUAACAAUUUACUGUUAAUUUAAUAAAUGUAAACCAUGUUAUAAAAUUAUUAUAUUAUAAAA